CUGGACCAGAAGUAAUCGGAGGCUUCUAAAGAGAGUGAAAGAGAGAAAGAAGAGGGGAGAACAGAUGUGAGGAGGAUUACGAAGGGAGAGUCAUCAGGAUUUACUUAUGGGAACACAGACCUUCUGCAGGCCACAGAAGGGGAGAAGAAGAGCAGACACAUCUUCCUGCCUGUACAUCUGUGCAGGACUUUGCCUCAGAUGGGCUGCUGGUGCGUGAUUCCAGGGAGUCAUCCCAUUCCUGUGCAGAUCCACUGGACAUGCAAAGAAGCCAUAGAAUACAACCUAUAACAAGGGGGAAAACCCAGUAAACAGAGACAGACCCAUAAAUGACAGGGGAUGAAAUUAGUAGACAAGGAUUUUAAAAUAGCUGACACAAACAUGCUCAAUGAUUUAAUGGGAAAUGAGUAGCAUGAGAGAAAUGGAAGCUAUAAUAAAGAACAAAAUGGAAAUAUGUGGAGUUGAAAAAUAUAAUACCUGAAGUGAAAUGGUUAUGAUUUCAUGUGAUUAAUAGCACAUUACACAUAAGUUUAAAGGGUUGAUUAACUUAAAAAUAUACCAAUACAAACUUUCCAAACUAAAGAACAGAGAGGAUUAAAGUCUGGGGGAAAAAAAUUGAUCCAAGUCUUAGUGAUCUGUCAGAUGAUAUGAAGCUAUUUAACAUACUGAGUCCCAGAAGGGAAGGCAGAAAAUCACUGAAGAAAUAAUGGCCAAAUGU